ACAAAGAUCUAAAUGUCGUCUCAUGAUUGUAAUUAAACAUGAAAAAACCUAUAGAAUUCCCAUGUCAAUCCUAUAGAAUAUCGAAUACAAAUUUUAAAACCUCACAACAAUAGUAGGGUACACACAAUAGUAAAAGUCCAGGCAUUACACAGAGAGUACACUUUGAAAAGUAGCUCCAUCUGCCAUCAUAAUUGAUUGAGUAAAAAGAGCUAGCUAGCUAGGCCUCUAACAGCAGCAUCAACAACACACAAAUGUUUUUCACCAAUAAUAUGAUCCCAUUUAGACUGGGGGGUGGACUAAGGCUUGUUAAGAGAAAAGAUCCCAUUGAUAUUGAAGUAUGCUGAUAUUCCAGUAUUCACAUCAUCUGGGAACUCAAACCAAAAGGAAUCCUCUUUCCUAACAUCAUAAGCAAUGCAGCACUGGGAUGGAUAAGUAAGGCGAAAAAGGAUCAACUCACCAUUCCUCAACCAGGCUAUUGGUUCAAUGGAAACAUGGCCUUU
rnacentral:lncRNA from 1 species